CUGGUACUGAGACACGGACCAGACUCCUACGGGAGGCAGCAGUGAGGAAUAUUGGUCAAUGGACGCAAGUCUGAACCAGCCAUGCCGCGUGCAGGAUGACGGCUCUAUGAGUUGUAAACUGCUUUUGUACGAGGGUAAACGCAGAUACGUGUAUCUGUCUGAAAGUAUCGUACGAAUAAGGAUCGGCUAACUCCGUGCCAGCAGCCGCGGUAAUACGGAGGAUUCAAGCGUUAUCCGGAUUUAUUGGGUUUAAAGGGUGCGUAGGCGGUUUGAUAAGUUAGAGGUGAAAUUUCGGGGCUCAACCCUGAACGUGCCUCUAAUACUGUUGAGCUAGAGAGUAGUUGCGGUAGGCGGAAUGUAUGGUGUAGCGGUGAAAUGCUUAGAGAUCAUACAGAACACCGAUUGCGAAGGCAGCUUACCAAACUAUAUCUGACGUUGAGGCACGAAAGCGUGGGGAGCAAACAGGAUUAGAUACCCUGGUAGUCCACGCAGUAAACGAUGAUAACUCGUUGUCGGCGAUACACAGUCGGUGACUAAGCGAAAGCGAUAAGUUAUCCACCUGGGGAGUACGUUCGCAAGAAUGAAACUCAAAGGAAUUGACGGGGGCCCGCACAAGCGGAGGAACAUGUGGUUUAAUUCGAUGAUACGCGAGGAACCUUACCCGGGCUUAAAUUGCAACUGACUGAACCGGAAACGGUUC
rnacentral:rRNA from 1 species